GACUAGUGACAGAGUGAGAGAGGGGGUGACUAGUGACAGAGUUAGGGAGAGAGUGACUAGUGACAGAGAGAGGGAUGGGGUGACUAGUGACAGUCACCCCCUCUCUCACUCUGUCACUAGUCACCCCCUUUCUCACUCUGUCACCAGUCAU